rnacentral:lncRNA from 1 species
GGGGUAUUCAUGUUAGUUUCUUUUCUUGAAAACCCUAUUCAGCAUUAGGCAAAGUAGCCAGGAAUUUUUUGUUUUGAUAAAUUUGUAGGGAAAUGGCAUUUUAAGAGGAGUCUCUCAGAGAGCUUAGCUGAGAGUCGAAUUCAUCUCUUUUCCAACCAAUGAAGCUAAGUGGAUGUCCCAGAGAUGUUUGUUUCAGAAGGGGAGUACUCCAGGCCAUCACUAAAGAUGUGUCCAGGCAGAGCCUUAGUACACUUUCUACACCUUGUAGAACUGUGGGCUGUAGCAUUACUCUGAUUUUCUGUCUGAUGAUGUCAGAGAAUGCUGGUAGUGUAAAGUUUUUUAUUUUAGGACUUAUUUGUACUCUGAAUUUUCAGGAACAGUCAAAGGAGUAGCAGCAAAGACACAAUAUUUUAGACCUGAGAAAUGCCUGAAAUGGGUAUUUUCCAAACUGCUCCCUAUAUGUACAGUUCAGUUUAACCACUGAUUGCCUUGUUAUUUUCUUACUAGGUUCUUUAUGAGAGAGCAAGUUGGAUGAUACCAUCAGGGGCUCUUGCACUCUCCAUUUGAAUAUUGCAUAAUUAAUAGUGCUCUGCUUCUAAGGAUUUGAAUGGAGUCUUAGGGUCAUCUUGUCCUGUUGGAAUUUGCUAUGCAGAGCCUUAAACUUCCCAUUUUGUUAGGAUCAGCUAGGCCAGUA